rnacentral:SRP_RNA from 1 species
GGUGACUCCCCACGCGGCGUUAUCUCGCAAAACUCCCCCAGGGUCGGAAGGCAGCAAGGGUAUGCGGGCUCUGACGGGUGCGUGGGGCGUCUUUUUU